AUAUAGGUUAUCUGACAGAACAUUGGCGGCUUCUGGGGUGCAACCAACAGAUGCUAUUGGCAUCUUUGGAUGAGUUGGAAUGAUGGAAGUUAUCAGAAGCCGUUUGUGGCAUGUGAAUCUAAGCUACAUUGCGUGAAAGGAAUCCACAGAAACAACACGACAACAAAUGCACCUACAGUUAUAGUUGCAGUACAGAUUUUUAUUCAGCGGAGUCGAUUAAGAGACAUCUGAUCAUGGCUGCUUAUUACGCACAGAACACUCAGCGAUUUCCUAAAUGUACUCUAAUGCCGCGAUUGAAAUGUAAGGAUGAUCGCGAGAGCUGCCUGCCAUCUGGAAAUGCAUUAGUAUUUAAAUGAUAUUUUUAAUGUAAGUCGUUAGUUUAUAAAUCUGUAUUUAGAUAGUUGUUUCUGUUCAACAUCACUAAAGUAAAUGUAAUACAGUUUAGUUUUUU